UUGAAUACUAUAUAACCAAGUUUUAACGCUCGAUAAGACAUGCAUAAUAUAUUACACAUAUGCAGGGUCAUGCGGAUGUACUGAAGUUGCCAACCUUGAUGAUUUAUAAUUUCUGUGAAUAGAAGUUGCCUUCUGGCCUAAUACGGACACUAAAGCUAUUCUAUCUGCUGGUUUCAUAUUUUUCUUUCAGGACAAUUUAGUUCAUUGAAAUCUGUUUUCUUCACUGCGUUUCUACUUUCUUAGUUAAGGAAAUCCAUCUCCAUGCUUUCAUGGUCUAUUAGACUAUAACUAACUAGCAACUAAAACGUACUGCAUGUAAAGAACUGAGACGUUUAAGAGGCAUAUAUCUUCCCUUCUCGAAUCUAGAGGGUUUACUUGAAAUUAGGAGUGUGGCUGUAAGAUUUGAGGAAAAGGUGUAUGCUGCUGCAUCAAGCCAGUAGGAUUAUUACGAAAAAUAUCUAGAAGUCAUGGAAGAACUGUUCAGGUGGUGUCAAAAGGAAAAAAGGAAACAUUUGAUUAAACAAUGGAAAUAAAAGCCCAGCCUAUGCAGAAGCCCACUAGGGGUACAACAGAAAACAAAAUACAACCUUUAAUUAGUGCUAAAUCCACAAGAAAAGUCCCUGGUCCAGUUCUUUAUACAAAUGCAGGAUUCGUCUGCAAUUAUAGAAAUGAAGUAAAGGUGACCAAGAAGUUAGUAAAGUGCACAGCAGAGUUCUACUUCUUCAUUUGAUUCAGUUAACCUGUGUCUUCCUCCACCUCUCUGAAGAUUCAGUGAUCAGUGGCCUCCACAGGGUGGAGAAGCCUUGAAUGGCUCCGGCAAUUGGAGAAUCUACUUGAUGCCAGAUUCAAGGCAAAGAAUUGUCAGAAGAUAACUGAUGUGUUGAAGAGGCAUCUUCCCUUCUCUGGCCAAGAGGGGUUACUUGAACGGCAGAGAAUUGCUGCAAGGUUCGAGGAUAAGUUGUAUGCUACUGCAUCAAGCCAGUCAGAUUAUCUACGAAAAAUUUCUCUGAAGUUGCUUGCCAUUGAGACCUCGGGAGUUGCAACAAGUCCCCCCUCCAACCUGAAAUGGCAUCGUGCCCUUGCUUUUGAAAGAGACUAAUGCAAGUUCUGUAACUUGUCCUAUUUGAAGUUGAUAAUAUUACUGUUCUUGUGAAAUAAGAAGAAAACUCGGAGCUUCUGAAACUGGAGUGAUUAUUGUAUAAUAGCACGAAACAAUUCCUUAGCGGUUUGUAAUAUCUCUGAAUAUUGAAGUACUUUAGAGCUACAUGCAAA